rnacentral:rRNA from 1 species
AUUGAACGCUGGCGGCAUGCCUUACACAUGCAAGUCGAACGGUAACGGGCCUUCGGGUGCCGACGAGUGGCGAACGGGUGAGUAAUGCAUCGGAACGUACCUUUCAGUGGGGGAUAACGUAGCGAAAGUUACGCUAAUACCGCAUAUUCUGUGAGCAGGAAAGCAGGGGAUCGCAAGACCUUGCGCUGAUUGAGCGGCCGAUGUCAGAUUAGCUAGUUGGUGAGGUAAAGGCUCACCAAGGCGACGAUCUGUAGCGGGUCUGAGAGGAUGAUCCGCCACACUGGAACUGAGACACGGUCCAGACUCCUACGGGAGGCAGCAGUGGGGAAUUUUGGACAAUGGGGGCAACCCUGAUCCAGCCAUGCCGCGUGAGUGAAGAAGGCCUCGGUUGUAAGU